GCUGUAGCUCAGUGGUAGAGCAUCUGCUUACUGUGCACAAGGUCCCAGGUUCAAACCCUGGCAUCUGCA